CUCCAGACAGGGCGAGCAUCCUCUACCUUUCCUAUAGAUUUCUUGCCUUCUAAUGUUUUUAGGUAACUAACAGAACCCCACUAUGCAAGAGGGAGUUGCAUCUGCUUUCCUUCACGUACACCCACAAGGCAAGGCAAUCAUCCUGAGGACUCAAGCUGGACAGCUAAAUGGGGAGCCUCGAUUGCAAGCAGGCUGGAAUUCGCUCUCUGAAUUAUCUGCCAGCUGUCCACACAGUCUCAGAGGCAGACCUGACCUGUUUUCCUGAUGAACCGUGAUGGUAGAAGAAGGGAAAGCCAGUGAAGUGCGUCAGUCCAGGGUAGUGUCACCAGGUCUCUCUAUGCAGAGUCAAGGGCAAUGGAGCAAAUGCCUACAUCUGACUUCAUGUGAUCUUAUGUGCCA
rnacentral:lncRNA from 1 species